rnacentral:tRNA from 2 species
GGGCCCGUGGCGCAGCAUGGAUAUGAAAACCAUAAAGCGCGUCGGCCUUCUAAGCCGGAGAUCCGGGGUUCAAAUCCCCGCGGGCCCGCCA